UUCAGAGUCAGGCCUAUCUCUUCUCCCCACAUCCAAAAAUGUAUGUCUUAUUCUGCAUCUUAAUCCAAUAAAUGUAAGGAGUGAAAGAGACUGUGUACAAAUCCAUCUCAAAGAAAUGAUCUGCCUGGAAGAGGAAUUUGAAAGGUGAUGGCAAUCAACUUGAACUCAGAAAAGCAUCAUCGUAUAGUUUUAAGGUUUCGCAGUGGAUAGAAGACUAGACCUAAAAUCAGAA